GGAAACUCGAAGCGGUCGGAGCUCAGGUCGCUCUAUUCCGUGUAAAUUCCUUUGUUUGUUUGGGCGCGAAAGCGAAUACACUGUGUUACAUCGCCGCCUUUGGAUUAUUUCUCUAAAUUUGGUGUCAGAAGUGGGAUUUGACGCUGCUCAACACGUGCCGGACAUGGAUAAUAAGAAAAAAAAGUAGGAAAGAAGAAGAAGAGGAAGUUGUCGGAUCGGCAAAGAAAGAGGAAUAACCAUUACAAUUUCGAAAAGGAAAGAAGAUCCCCGAAGCCGCAAUUGAAGAAAGGCGCCAAAGAGAGGCCAAAGAAAAGGAAAAUAGGACAGAAGCAAACCAGAUAGGUGGAAGAAAAGGAGGAAGAAGAAGACGACAAGUUCGACUCCCUAGUAAGGCGGAAUACUUUGCGCCCCUUCGAAGAGUCAGGGAAGAGACAGUGGCCGAGAGAGAAGAAAGAAGAGCCAGAGAAAGGUGGGAAAGAUUGAGGAUUUCAGAAAUUUGUAAGAAAAAAGCAUAAGAGGAAGAAUCGAGAAAGGCUAAGAAAAAAGCAGAAGAGGAAGAAUCGAGAAAGGCUAAGAAAAAAGCAGAAGAGGGAGAAUCGAGAAAGGCUAAGAAGAAAGCAGAAGAAGAAAAACUGAGGAAGACCAAAGCAGAAAGCAUAGAAGAAAGAGAGGCAAGAAGAGCGAAAGAAAAGUUGGAGAGGUAAAAAAACAGUGAAGCAGCAAAGAAGAAGCAAGAAGAAGAAGAAGAAUUAGAAAGAAUAAGGAUGGAAAUUACUUUCAUCGAAUAAAACAAACCAAAAAAAUUGUACCUGUUUAACGUUCAUUAAUAAAGAUAUUAUCACCUCGUAAUUGACGCGUCUUGUAAGGAUGGAAAUUACUUUCAUCGACUAAAACAAACCCAAAAAAUUUUACCUGUUUAACGUUCAUUAAUAAAGAUAUUAUCACCUCG